UACGUAGGGGGCUAACGUUAUUCGGAAUCACUGGGCUUAAAGGGCGCGUAGGCUGUUUGUUAAGCGGGGUCUGAAAUCCCUCGGCUCAACCGAGGAACUGGGCUUCGAACUGGCAGACUAGAGUGAAGUAGGGGUAAGCGGAACUUGCGGUGGAGCGGUGAAAUGCUUUGAUAUCGCAAGGAACACCGGCGGCGAAGGCGGCUUACUGGGCUUCAACUGACGCUUAAGCGCGAAAGCUAGGGUAGCGAACGGGAUUAGAUACCCUGGUAGUCCCUGAGCGGGCUGG
rnacentral:rRNA from 1 species